rnacentral:tRNA from 1 species
CGGUAGCUCAGCUGGGUAGAGCGCCAGUCCCUCGGGACGGUCUUUCUCACUUCUCGUCGCCGUGACCCGAAAUGCAAAACCAUGGCGAAUGCCUGACGGACUACAUGGCCUAUCACGCCCCAGAUGCGGGUUCGAAUCCCGCCGGACCGCCCA